CCUGGUCUCGGCUGAAGACCAGGGGAGACCGUGCCGUUGCUGCACCCAGGUUAUGGAAUACUCUUCCUCUUCAUGUUCGUGCAUCAGAUUCCAUUCAGUCUUUUAAAUCACGCCUAAAAACGUAUUUGUUUAACCUGCCAUUCAGGGCUAAUUAGGGUAAUUUACAUCUGGCUCUGCAUUUAGAUUAUGUAAUUAUUUUAUAUUUUAUUUAUUUUAUUUAUAUCUGUAAUUUAUAUUUUAUAUUGUGAUUUUUUUUUAUCUGUAUCAGGAUUUUACUGGAAAGCACUUUGGUGUACUGCGGUCUUUAAAAUGUGCUAUAUGAAUACAUUUUGAUUGAUUGAUUAUUGUCAUCAGCUGAUCAGAGGAAAGCACGUGUUUAAUGUGCACGCCGACUGAAGCCGAGGUCAGUUCGUGGUUGGACGUUUCUGACCACAGGAAAUAUCAUCCAGGUUUAACAGCUGACGGCUUCUCUCCCGUCUGUCCGAACGACCACACCAAGUACAAGAUGAGACAUUUCAGAUGUGACGACAGGAUCAAAGAUGAAUCGAAGCUCUGACAGAUCGAUUUGGUGCUUUUAGCUGCAGGAGCUCGCACAGUCGCGAGGCCCCAGCCACACCUGCACUGAUGUGCAUGGCAUGCAAAUGUCUUCCAAAUCACUGCGAGUUUGACUCACAAAUGAUCGUUUCCAUACCUGAAGGACAGGAAAGAAGGUGACUGUGGAAAACUCCCCACAGUCAGCCGCUGACCGCAGACCGGCAGAAGCUUCAUAUCAAAGCCACUUCUGUAAUUUGAUGAUAAACUGAGGGAGACGUUGGUGUUUUUCCUCCAUCAUGUAUCCUUUGGUCCUCCUGCUGCUGCUGGGAGCGAGGAGCUCAGAGUCCACGGGCCCUGUGCCUUACGACACCGUUGGCCAAAACUUUACCGUUGUGUUUCCGGAGAACAUCGCCAGCUACUACCCCAGCCCGCCCACAAACAUGGUCAUAAUCACUGCUUUGAAAAACGAGACAACAGUCCGAGUUCAAGAGUACGACAAGUCUGAGCAACGGGUCCUGGACGCUGGAGAUGUUUGGAAUUUCACCGUGAAUGAAAAGCUGGAACUCGGGAAGCAAAACAUCUCCAACAAAACUCUGACCAUUGACAGCAACAAAGAUAUCACCGUUCAAGCCAUCAGCCGUAAAGAAGACAGUCUGCAGACUGCUGUCGUCAUACCUACAGACAAACUCGGCACAACGUACCUCAUCCCACCAAUACCCACAAUUCCCGGCACAAACAAUUAUCAGGACUUAGUUGUGCAGACGGUGACGGAGCGAGGCCCGUUCAGAAUCAUCAUCGUCAACGGUGUUCAGCAGCAAAACAACGUGAACGUCGGAGGAUUAAAGACGCAAGAAGUUUCCCUCCAGUCAGGCCAGGUUGCUCAGAUCUGGUUGAAUGAGAGUGCAGGGUUUAAAAACGUGACGGCUGAAAAGCCAGUGGCCGUCCUCUUUGGCCACCCCUGCGCCGUCCAGCGCAACUGCAGCUGCGGGCUGCUGUACGCCAUUCUGCCGCCAGCCCCAGGCAGGACGCUGAAGUACUUAGUUCCUCCAUUUCUGGCCCAGGAUUCCGCGGGAGAGACGAUGGUACUUUUGGCACAGAACGAUUCCACCAGCGUCACGCCCUACGCCUCAAGCUCACCGACGUAUGAUGUAGCCGGCACAGCCAUCCUCUACCGGCCGGGAUUACUUCUCCCUCUGAUCCCAACAGCAAACUUUGCCUGCUGCUUUGUGGUCACAGCAUUCCCCACGAUCUCCAAUAACUACGCCGUGAUCGUGGUCAGCAGUAACGUCACCGACGGGGUUCGUGUUGGAAAUAACCACAUAUCAAGUGCAGACUGGACGAAACUGGAGGGGACUGAUUACAGCUCGAUACAAGUUCCUCUGCGUUUGGGUGAAACUGUCAUCUGGCACACUUCCUCCAAAAUGGCCGUCUACUUUAGCGGGAACAAUGGAAGCACUUUGUUUGGGAACCAGGCACCUGUCGUCAGUUCAAGCCCAGAUUUCAGGGGCUGCGCCGUGACCCCCGAGGUUCUAGACUUGGAAGAACAACCCAGCGACUGGCGUGAAUCUUUUAAAGCCUGCGCUGAUCGCAAACUAGAGCUGCUCUGCCUGUCAAGCGCCGACCUCCAGAAACAGAUCUAUGGCAAACUUUACCAGAACAGGUCUUUAACUAACAACACUGUACAAGAGGUGUGGAUCGGCAUGCGGCGCAGCUCGCUGAACGGGGAGUGGUUCUGGGUGAACGGGGACAGCGUCAACAGCACCACCUGGGGUGACGGCGAGCCCGGUGGGGUGGAGGAAGGCCAGUGCACCAUCAUGAGUCUGGGAAACGGCACGGGCUUUGAGUGGAGCGACGACGACUGCUGCAUGGAUGCUCAUUAUAUCUGCUACAAGGAGCCGGAGCUCUUCCCCAUAUAGGACAGGAGCUCUGCAGCUCUGCACUGUCGUUAGUUUCACUACACAUCCUGUUCACGUAUAAGCAUGCUGUAGCUGCCAGUCACAUUUUAUGGCUCUGUAGAAGAAAAACAUGUACUCUAGUUUAGUCUGAGGGUCUCACGCUCUGCUUGGUGAGACACCUGAACAGCAACCAGCAGCAUCUUAGUCCUGAAAACCGAAGCAAAUGUGUAACUAAGCAUUUAAGAAAGUUUCACUUUGCAGAGGAUGUUCCUGCUGAUCUGACUGGGAAAUGUUACGAUCGUUGGGAACCAGUAUGCAGCAUCACUGGUUUCCUGUUUGAUUGUAAUCUGAGGAGAGUGAGCUGUUAUUUGUCACUAUUUAAAGUGUUUGAGCUUCGUGUGUUUGUAAUAAUCGGCUCUGCAGAAGCUUCAGCAGAGUGAUGCUAACUCGUAUUUACUGUUUGCUCUUAGAUUACGGUUUCUGGGAUAAACGAUCAGCGCCGUCCUGCGGCUGGUAGAAUACUUUUCUAUAAUAACUGAAGAUGUAAAUUCAAGUGUGAUUUUAUUCUUUAAGGAGUCCUAAACCGAGCUGAAUGUAAGUUUACAGGUAACCUCGUCAUCCUGAUGCUUUAUAUUAUUUACCGGUUUGAAGUCAGCAGAGUUUGCAUGUUGAACUGUUGAAUCUGCAGUCUGAUUGGUCAGAAUCAUCUAUGCACCAGUUUUAUUGUAAAAAUGAUUAUUUCAGUCAAUCAUGGACUCAGUGACACAUCAAUAAAUCUGUUUUGCUGUGACAAACUGGACGCUGGUGUCUUUUAUUUGUUCCCAGUACAGAAACGUCCAAAACGAUUCACAUCUUUACACCUUUAAACUCUAAAUGUUCUUUAUUGUCAGGCUAACAAUUUAAAGACUUCAGUAACUUUACUGUUAAAUGGAUUUAAUGUCCAACAACAACAUUAAUGAGCAAAUUUCAACAAAUAUUAAGUUUGCAGAUGAUGUGCAUCUUUAUUCAUCAGUUGUUUCAGACUUUAUUUCCUCAAGUUUCCUGUAAAAACCUGAAAUCAUUUGGUAAUUAAAGGCAAGG
ensembl:lncRNA